GGAUAACCUGCCCUAUUGUCUGGAAUAACCUCGGGAAACUGAGAACAAGGCCGGAUAGCCCACAAUGCCUGGAACGGUUUGUGGGUGAAGAUAGGAUGGGUCUGCGGCGUAUCAGGUUGUAGGGGGUGUAAUGGACCUCCUAGCCAUCGACGCGUACGGGUGUUGGGAGACAUAGCCCGGAGAUGGAUUCUGAGACACGAAUCCAGACCCUACGGGGUGCAGCAGGCGCGAAAACUUCACACUGCAGGAAACUGUGAUGAGGGAACUCCAAGUGCUAUCACUAUGUGGUAGCUUUUCUUGACUAUUAAUCGGUCAUGGAAUAAGGGCUGGGAAAGACCGGUGCCAGCCGCCGCGGUAAUACCGGCAGCUCAAGUGGUCGUCGCUUUUAUUGGGCCUAAAACGUCCGUAGCCUGUUUGGUAAAUCUGUGGGUAAAUCAACCAGCUUAACUGGUUGAAUUCUGCAGAGACUGCCAGACUAGGGACCGGGAGAGGUGUGGGGUACUCUAGGGGUAGGGGUAAAAUCCUGUCAUCCUUAGAGGACCACCAGUUGCGAAGGCGCCACACUGGAACGGAUCCGACGGUCAGGGACGAAGCCUAGGGGCACGAACCGGAUUAGAUACCCGGGUAGUCCUAGGUGUAAACGCUGUGAACUUGGUGUCGGGGAUCCGUAAUGGGUCCUCGGUGCCGGAGUGAAGAUGUUAAGUUCACCGCCUGGGGAGUACGGUCGCAAGGCUGAAACUU
rnacentral:rRNA from 1 species